UCUUCCGGGCAUGGCGCUACUCUGCUGUCCGGUGGUGGAUGUAGGCGUGAGGACGCUUGUCUCACGAAGCUCGUAGUAGACCGAGGGCCGGACCCCCGGCCAGGGACUGCUGCAAGCGCUCCUUCACAGCUACCAGCUUGAGCUCCAGGUCGAUCCUCUGCUCUUCCUUGGCACGGCAUUGAGCUUCCAGAGUGGCCACGGCCUCUUCCAAGGCCUUCGACUUUGCUCCUGAGUCCAGAGACACGGAUGAGAAAGUCUGCGGGGCUAAAGGCCCCACUCCACCCCCCCCCCCCGCCCCUUGCUGGAGUGUCCAGAAGGACUGGGUGAAGGCUUGUACUGCAGCCACUAUGUCACCACAAAGAGAAAGAGAAUAAAGUCACAUUUCUCUGUACUUCACUACACCCGA
rnacentral:lncRNA from 1 species